AGUGAACGCUGGCGGUAGGCCUAACACAUGCAAGUCGAACGGCAGCACAGUAAGAGCUUGCUCUUACGGGUGGCGAGUGGCGGACGGGUGAGGAAUACAUCGGAAUCUACUUUUUCGUGGGGGAUAACGUAGGGAAACUUACGCUAAUACCGCAUACGACCUACGUGUGAAAGCAGGGGAUCUUCGGACCUUGCGCGAUUGAAUGAGCCGAUGUCGGAUUAGCUAGUUGGCGGGGUAAAGGCCCACCAAGGCGACGAUCCGUAGCCGGUCUGAGAGGAUGAUCAGCCACACGGGAACUGAGACACGGUCCAGACUCCUACGGGAGGCAGCAGUGGGGAAUAUUGGACAAUGGGCGAAAGCCUGAUCCAGCAAUACCGCGUGGGUGAAGAAGGCCUUCGGGUUGUAAAGCCCUUUGGUUGGGAAAGAAAAGCAGCAGGUUAAUACCCCGCUGUUCUGACGGUACCAAAAGAAUAAGCACCGGCUAACUUCGUG
rnacentral:rRNA from 1 species